AACUACAGGCGCCCGCCAUGAUGCCCGGCUCAUUUUCUGUGUUUUCAGUAGAGACGGGGUUUCACUGUGUUAGCCAGGAAAGUCUUGAUCUCCUGACCUCGUGAUCCUGACCUCGGCCUCCCAAAGUGCUGGGAUUACAGGCGCGAGCCACCGCGCCCGACAGCAGUUAUGAAGUUCUAAAAGCAAGUCUUAAUCAGGAAGUGUCCUUGAUCACCAACGGCUCGCCCAGGCAUGCUGGCUCUCUUCCACUUCCACCUUCCACCAUGGGAUGACGCAGUAAGAAGGCCAUCAGUAGAUGCCAGUCCCUCAACCUUGAACUUUCCAGACGCAGAACUGUAAGAAUGAAUCUUUGUUCAUUAUAAAUUACCCAGUUGCAAGUAUUCUGUUAUGAUAGUGUAGCACAAAAUAGAUUAUUAAGAUGAAUGUCAAGCAUUAGAAUGUUAGUCAAGCUGUAAAUCUCAAAAAUUUUCCUCCUAUGUGUUUUUCUAAAAGCUGAUGGUGUACAUUUUACAUUUAACUCCAUCAUCCAUUUUGAGUUAACUUUGUAUAA
ensembl:lncRNA LINC02864 long intergenic non-protein coding RNA 2864